rnacentral:rRNA from 1 species
AUGUCUUGUCCAUACACCUCUCCACAGAACGGCAAAGCUGAACGUGUCAUCUGCUCCACUAAUAACAUGGUGCGUUCCCUUCUUUUCCAAGCCAGCUUACCACCGGCCUAUUGGGUUGAAGCUCUUCACACUGCCACUUUCCUCUUCAACCUACACCCAACCAAAACAUUGCAACAACGUACACCUUAUGAGGCUCUUCGCGGCCUACCUCUCCCCCUAGAGCACUUGCGUGUUUUCGGUUGUCUGUGCUAUCCUAACCUAUCCGCUAUAGCACCACACAAACUAGCUCCACGCACGACCGCAUGCGUUUUCCUCGGGUACCCCUCU